AUGGUCUUAGCUUGCUAAGGCCGAUGGCGACCGGCGCACGGGUGAGUAACGCGUAUCCAACCUGCCUUACACUCUUGGACAGCCUUCUGAAAGGGAGAUUAAUACAAGAUGGCAUCAUGAGUUCACAUGUUCACAUGAUUAAAGGUAUUCCGGUAGACGAUGGGGAUGCGUUCCAUUAGAUAGUAGGCGGGGUAACGGCCCACCUAGUCUUCGAUGGAUAGGGGUUCUGAGAGGAAGGUCCCCACAUUGGGACUGAGACACGGCCCAAACUCC
rnacentral:rRNA from 1 species